GUGCUCAGUUAGACAGCAUAUAUGCUAAAAUUAGAACAAUAAAGAGAAGAUUAGAAUGGCCCCUGAGCAAGGAUGACAUGCAAAUUCAUGAAGCAUUUCAUAUUUAA